GGUAUAAUGGAGUUGUUCCAAAGAUCAAUAAACCAUACACGGAAAUCCUCAAUCCCAAUUGGACAAGACAAGAAGAAGCAAGGACCUGUCAGAGAAGCACAGACCUGAAUGAAGCAUUAUCCCUUGGAAUUGGAAACAUACCUUUGAGGCAUCAACAACCAAAAGUAAUCUAAAACAGCAUGCAAAUGUAAAGAAACAUCAUCUGACACACUCCUGAUGAAGUCCUGCAGUGAGCAACGGACGAAACGCGUUGAGUGACAGACCGAUGGACUGACAUAUUUGAUAUCAGAUAAGCUGUUUUUAUUCUUUUAUAUGCUACGGGCAACUACUUAUUUUAUGUGUUAUACCAAAUAAAUAUGUGUGUUUUUUAAACUUUA